rnacentral:rRNA from 1 species
GGUGCUGGGGUGGUCUAGCAUGCGAGUCAUUGUAGCAAUACAAGGCAUACGGCUCAGUAACGCGUAGUCAAUCUACCCUAUGGACGGGGAUAACCUCGGGAAACUGAGAAUAAUACUCGAUAGAACAUUAUGCCUGGAACGGUUUAUGUUUCAAAUGAUUUACCGCCAUAGGAUGGGACUGCGGCCUAUCAGUUUGUUGGUGAGGUAAUGGCCCACCAAGACUAUUACAGGUACGGGCUCUGAGAGGAGUAGCCCGGAGAUGGGUACUGAGACACGGACCCAGGCCCUAUGGGGCGCAGCAGGCGAGAAAACUUUGCAAUGUGCGAAAGCACGACAAGGUUAAUCCGAGUGGUUUCUGCUAAAGAAACCUUUUGCUAGUCCUAGAAACACUAGUGAAUAAGGGGUGGGCGAGUUCUGGUGUCAGCCGCCGCGGUAAAACCAGCACCUCAAGUGGUCAGGAUGAUUAUUGGGCCUAAAGCAUCCGUAGCUCGUUUUGUAAGUUUUCGGUUAAAUCCAUACGCUCAACGUAUGGGCUGCCGGGAAUACUGCAUGACUAGGAAGUGGGAGAGGUAGACGGUACUCGAUAGGAAGGGGUAAAAUCCUUUGAUCUAUUGAUGACCACCUGUGGCGAAGGCGGUCUACCAGAACACGUUCGACGGUGAGGGAUGAAAGCUGGGGGAGCAAACCGGAUUAGAUACCCGGGUAGUCCCAGCUGUAAACUAUGCAAACUCAGUGAUGCAUUGGCUUGUGGCCAAUGCAGUGCUGCAGGGAAGCCGUUAAGUUUGCCGCCUGGGAAAUACGUACGCAAGUAUGAAACUUAAAGGAAUUGGCGGGGGAGCACCACAAGGGGUGAAGCCUGCGGUUCAAUUGGAGUCAACGCCGGG